GGGCCGAUAGCUCAGGGGUAGAGCACUGCACUCGCAUUGCAGGGGCCGUGGGUUCAAAUCCCACUCGGUCCA
rnacentral:tRNA from 1 species